UACGAAGGGGGCUAGCGUUGCUCGGAAUCACUGGGCGUAAAGGGCGCGUAGGCGGCCCCGCGCGGUCGGGCGUGAAAUCCCCGGGCUCAACCCGGGGGCUGCGCCUGAGACGGCGGGGCUGGAGGACGGAAGAGGGUCGCGGAAUUCCCAGUGUAGAGGUGAAAUUCGUAGAUAUUGGGAAGAACACCGAUGGCGAAGGCAGCUAUCUGGACCGACACUGACGCUGAGGCGCGAAAGCGUGGGGAGCAAACAGG
rnacentral:rRNA from 1 species